GCGUUUGUUCCUUCUAUGUAGGCACAGACUCUGGGUGCUAUGAACAUGCUCUUCAGAUAAGCAACGUUCAGUGGGCUUUAAACUGCAAAACAACCUGUUCGUUGUAAUCCAGCAACUCCGUGCUACUCCAAAAUAAAUGCUUGCAAGAAGCUAAAGGACAGUGAGUGGACUGACCAUCUAUCCUUGAAUUUGUGGACAGCCCCCCACCCCGAAUAUGACUUACAAGCCGGCAAAAGACAAGAGACACAGCUUCAGAAAGUUCUAGUGGCCUUCGUCAGAGCUGACUGCUGAUUUCCAACCCGGCCCACCUUCAGCAGUUUCUGUCCCUUUUCAAGACUCCACUCAGCAUGGGUGUGUUCCAUUUAAGACUGAAGAGCCCUGUGGAUAAAUCAAAAUGCCAUAGAGAUCUUCUUAGCAAGGACUCAAAUCAAAACUUACUCUGGCCUCGGCAUGCUGGGUAGACAUAAGACAGACUUCCUACAGAUUAAUUUCCCAGAGAGAAGAUGCAUGCGAGCAAACUGUAAGAAGUUAUGAGGGUAAUUCAACCAGCAGUUUUUGUAUAUGCUAAUUCUUGCUACCCUCAUUCAUCAGAAUUCUAGAGUUAAUUGAGCUUCCCACAUGCGAGAAUUCUAACAGAUAGGGAAACAAUUUUGUGUGUGUGUGGGAAAAAUAACACUGCAAGAAAACAGUCUCAGCUAUGCUGUGUUUAUGACUAAGGUUUGAAAAAACAUGCUAACCAUCCCAGCAUUCUUAAGAUAAUCAUUUGAGGAUAUUUGAAAUAAUGCAUUCCAUAUAGUUCUGUAAUUAAGAUAAAAUGAACUGCUGGAAUAGAUUAUUCUACCAUUAUUCAACCUGAUGUCUUUUUAUCUAACACUGGCAGAAUAUUCAUAUUAA